AUGAAAGUCAGUCACACUUUUAUCUGCUUCUUCUUCCUCUCACUGUGGGAUGGAAACACUGCCUGCUUCGUUGGUGACAGAAGAACACGAGUCUAUACAAGAACUGAAGGAGAAAACAUCAGAGCUUUGUGUCACUUUGAUUUCUCUUUGUCUGGAAGACAUAAGAUCUUCUGUAAGGGAGAAUGUGAAGAAAAAGACAUUCUCAUUGAAACAUAUGAGGACAGAGCUCAGAGUGGCAGAUACAGCAUCCAAUAUAAACACUUAGAUCCUCAACCAUUUAUUAUAUCUAUGGAUGUGAGCAUCACAAAGCUGACAAAGUCUGACUCAGGGUGGUACAGAUGUAAGGUGGACAGAUCUACAGAUUCUUACGAUGACUUUGAGCUCAGAGUUGAAGAUGGUGAGUUUCUACUGAGAGUCCUGAAAUGAAGUGUUCACUGACAGCUGCUGAUGUUUCUAAUAACCCAACAUGUUUAGUCUAACAAUUAUAUUUGGAGCUGCAUAUUUCCAUCAUUGUGAACACUGAUAAAUGCUCCUUUAAAAGCAACAGUUCAUCUGUAAAAUAUCU
rnacentral:lncRNA from 15 species